CGGGUGAGUAAUGCAUAGGAAUCUACCCAGUAUGGGGGACAACUCGGGGAAACUCGAGCCAAUACCGCAUACGACCUACGGGUGAAAGUGGGGGAUCUUCGGACCUCACGCUAUUGGAUGAGCCUAUGUCAGAUUAGCUAGUUGGUGGGGUAAUGGCCUACCAAGGCGACGAUCUGUAGCUGGUUUGAGAGGAUGAUCAGCCACACUGGGACUGAGACACGGCCCAG
rnacentral:rRNA from 1 species